GACGAACCGUGCGAACGUUAUUCGGAAUCACUGGGCUUAAAGGGCGCGUAGGCGGGCUCGCAAGUCAGGGGUGAAAGCCCACGGCUCAACCGUGGAAGUGCCUUUGAUACUGCGGGCCUCGAGGGAGGUAGGGGCGUGCGGAACUUCCGGUGGAGCGGUGAAAUGCGUAGAUAUCGGAAGGAACACCGGUGGCGAAAGCGGCGCGCUGGACCUCUUCUGACGCUGAGGCGCGAAAGCCAGGGGAGCAAACGGG
rnacentral:rRNA from 1 species